AUGUACCGCGCGUGCACUCCGGUUCCGAGCGCACUGUCCACACCUAGCGGACGACUGCUCGCCACGUGUUGUGAGCC
rnacentral:sRNA from 2 species